rnacentral:rRNA from 1 species
UACGUAGGGUGCGAGCGUUGUCCGGAAUUAUUGGGCGUAAAGGGCUCGUAGGCGGUCUGUUGCGUCGGGUGUGAAAACUCAGGGCUUAACCCUGAGCCUGCUUCCGAUACGGGCAGACUAGAGGUAUGCAGGGGAGAACGGAAUUCCUGGUGUAGCGGUGAAAUGCGCAGAUAUCAGGAGGAACACCGGUGGCGAAGGCGGGUCUCUGGGCCGUAACUGACGCUGAGGAGCGAAAGCGUGGGGAGCGAACAGG